GGUAGUCCACGCCCUAAACGUUGCGAACUAGGUGUUGGCGAGAUUGACCUCGUCAGUGCCGCAGCUAACGCAUUAAGUUCGCCGCCUGGGAAGUACGGUCGCAAGAUUAAAACUCAAAGGAAUAGGCGGGGCCCGCACAAGCAGCGGAGCGUGUGGUUUAAUUCGAUGUAACGCGAAGAACCUUACCUGGGCUUGACAUGUUUCGGAAAGCUCGGUGAAAGCCGGGCCUUCCCGCAAGGGACCGUUGCACAGGUGGUGCAUGGCUGUCGUCAGCUCGUGCCGUGAGGUGUUGGGUUAAG
rnacentral:rRNA from 1 species